CGCAAAGUAAAGAAGGGUAUGAAUUUUUUCAAACCCUGGGAAAGAUUUUAGUGUGGGCAGGGAAGCCAAACGUAGCAGACUUUUUUCCAUUCUUCAAAUGGUUAGAUCCACAAGGACUAAAGAAGAACAUAUUGAAAGACAUGGGACGAGCAUUGGAGAUUAUUGAAGGGUUUGUGAAAGAGAGGAUUGAGAAGCACAAACCGAGUGAGAAGAAGGCUGAGGACCACAUUGUUGGAAUUUGAAGGCGACGGAAAAGAUUGGCAGGAGAAGAUCCCAUAUGAAAAAAUCAUCA
rnacentral:misc_RNA from 1 species